GGGGAGGUACCGAAGCGGUCAAACGGGGCAGACUGUAAAUCUGUUGGCUUAUGCCUUCACAGGUUCGAAUCCUGUCCUCCCCA
rnacentral:tRNA from 1 species